rnacentral:misc_RNA from 1 species
GAUGAAGAACGUAGCGAAAUGCGAUAAGUAAUGUGAAUUGCAGAAUUCAGUGAAUCAUCGAAUCUUUGAACGCACAUUGCGCCCCUUGGUAUUCCGAGGGGCAUGCCUGUUCGAGCGUCAUUACAACCCCUCAAGCUCUGCUUGGUGUUGGGUGUUUGUCUCGCCUCUGCGUGUAGACUCGCCUCAAAACAAUUGGCAGCCGGCGUAUUGAUUUCGGAGCGCAGUACAUCUCGCGCUUUGCACUCAUAACGACGACGUCCAAAAGUACAUUUUACACUCUUGACCUCGGAUCAGGUAGGGAUACCCGCUGAACUUAAGCAUAUCAAUAAGCGGAGGA